rnacentral:lncRNA from 1 species
CCAAUUCUCUAUCUUCUCUGAUUUCUCUCCAGUUGCGUCUAUAGAUAUGGUUAAGCCAUGGUUAUGGAGUAUUCUUCACAUGGUAUCAGAGCGCGAGGUAUUUCGAUUCGUAUGUGUUUCCAUACAUUGUCUUCGUCUUUUGUUCUGCUCCUGUGUUGUAUUCUGAUCGUUUGCUAGAUCGAGUUUUUGGAUCCAUUUUACUUUCCGCUGCAUUUCUUCACUCAGAUCGAUUCAUCUCUUUUGUGAGUUUUUUUUAAAAUUGAAUUACUAUGGUGAUUGAAAGUGGUUCUUCUUCGAAUGAUAAUAUUGUGAAUAACAAUGGUGUUGGUAGUGAAGAUCUUAGUUCUCCUUUGUAUAUGCACCCUUCGGAUAACCCAAGUGCCUCGUUGGUUCAAGCUCCUUUUGAUGGAGUAGGGUAUAAAUCAUGGAAACAAAGUGUUCUUAGAGUUUUAUCAGUUAAGAAUAAGCUAGGCUUUAUCAAUGGUGAUUGUAAAAGGCCCGAUCCAGGCACAUCACGAUUCCGUCAAUGGGGAAGAUAUGAUGACAUGGCUACUUCCUGGAUUCUCAAUUCUCUGUCAAAGGAAAUUGCAGAAAGUGUGG